rnacentral:rRNA from 3 species
GACGAAGGGGGCUAGCGUUGUUCGGAAUUACUGGGCGUAAAGCGCGUGUAGGCGGUUGUUCAAGUCGGGUGUGAAAGCCUUGAGCUCAACUCAAGAAAUGCACUCGAUACUGGAUGACUUGAGGACCGGAGAGGAUAGUGGAAUUCCCAGUGUAGUGGUGAAAUACGUAGAGAUUGGGAAGAACACCAGUGGCGAAGGCGGCUAUCUGGACGGUUUCUGACGCUAAGACGCGAAAGCGUGGGGAGCAAACAGG